GAAAUGCGAUAAGUAGUGUGAAUUGCAGAAUUCAGUGAAUCAUCGAAUCUUUGAACGCACAUUGCGCCCUUUGGUAUUCCUUAGGGCAUGCCUGUUCGAGCGUCAUUUAAACCUUCAAGCUCAGCUUGGUGAUGGGUGACUGUCCCCCCCUCGCGGGGGGACUCGCCUCAAAAACAUUGGCGGCCGGUACAUUGGCUUCGAGCGCAGCAGAAACGCGGUCUCGAGUCCUGUGGAUCGGCUCCCAUAAGCAUCUUCUUUUAUUUUGACCUCGGAUCAGGUAGGGAUACCCGCUGAACUUAAGC
rnacentral:misc_RNA from 1 species